rnacentral:rRNA from 1 species
GACGAAGGGGGCUAGCGUUGUUCGGAAUUACUGGGCGUAAAGCGCGUGUAGGCGGUUGCCAAAGUCGGGUGUGAAAGCCUUGAGCUCAACUCAAGAAUUGCACUCGAUACUUGGUGACUAGAGGACCGGAGAGGAUAGUGGAAUUCCCAGUGUAGUGGUGGAAUGCGUAGAUAUCGGGAGGAACACCAGUGGCGAAGGCGGUUGCCUGGAGCUUUGCUGACGCUGAGGCGCGAAAGCGUGGGGAGCGAUCCGG